UGUAAUUAAUUAAUCUUAAUUAACGCGUUAAAGUCCCGGCCCUAAUAUAAACACUAGAUGGCUCAUGGGAGAUUUUCCAGCGUAGCUCACCGGCCGCCAUCUUGCUACAGUCAACAGUUACUCUGGUACGCGCUAUGGUAGCUGUUGUAAGAAGUACCUGACUAUGCCUGACUUUUGUGCAGCCUACGGCUGCUCUAAUCGCCGCAGUCUGCAAACAAGAACCCGUGGAAUCACCUUUCACGUGUUUCCCAAAAGCGGAGAGAGGAGGAGGCAGUGGGAACUCGCCCUAAGAAGGGACGGUUUUGUUUCCUCUGGCAGGACGCUGCUCUGCAGUGAGUACUUCAGGAGUGAGGACUUUGACAGGACGGGGCAGACUGUCCGGCUUAAAGAUGGUGUUGUGCCAACAGUAUUCAAUUUCCCAGCUCAUCUUCAAAGGCCGGAAGCAACAAGAAGCACAACCAUUUAAAGAAGAGCGGAAGAUGAACCUCAGCCUAAUGUUGUGAGUAUUCUGAAUGUGGCCAAGACCAGAGAGAUGGUCAUUGAUUUCAGGAGGGUGAGGACGUCUCUUCUACCCCUGUGCAUUCUGGGAGAGGAUGUGGCUGUUGUGGAGGACUACAAAUACCUGGGAGUGCACUUAGACAACGGACUGAACUGGAGGAUCAACACUGAUGCUGUGCACAAGAAGGGGAUGAGCAGACUCUAUUUUCUGAGGAAGCUGAGAUACUUCCACGUGUGCAGUAAGAUGCUGGAGAUCUUCUACCGGUCUGUUGUGGCCAGUGCACUCUUCUUUGCUCCGGUCUGCUGGGGGGGGCAGCAUCAGAGCCG